UACGUAGGGGGCUAGCGUUGUCCGGAAUCAUUGGGCGUAAAGCGCGUGUAGGCGGUCCGGUAAGUCCGCUGUGAAAGUCGGGGGCUCAACCCUCGGAUGCCGGUGGAUACUGUCGGGCUUGAGUACGGAAGAGGCGAGUGGAAUUCCUGGUGUAGCGGUGAAAUGCGCAGAUAUCAGGAGGAACACCAAUUGCGAAGGCGACAUCCUGGACCGGUAUUGACGCUGAGGCGCGAAAGCCAGGGGAGCAAACGGG
rnacentral:rRNA from 1 species